rnacentral:tRNA from 1 species
GGGGUUGUGGCUCAGCGGUAGAGGGCUCACCUAGCACAUGUGAGGCCCUGGGUUCGAUCCUCAGCACCACA